rnacentral:tRNA from 1 species
GGAUAAAUGGCUGAGUGGUUUAAAGCCUUAGUUUUGAAAGCUAAUGUGGAAUAAAUCCACCGUGGGUUCGAAUCCCACUUUAUCUU